UUAGAAUUGACUGCAUUCGCAUUAUAAAGAGACUCAGCAACAUUAUACGUUAUAAGUCAUAGUGAGCAUCACCCGUGACUAGAUAUCUCAAAGUAUAACUGAGAGCCUUUCGUCUGGAGGAAUUGGUUCUCGCAUUCUGGUGGACUUUUUUUAUUAAAGAAGCGACCCAGGUCAAUAGCAGCUCAAAAGUGCCGGGCGACAUCCUAAAGAGCCGAAAGAAGUGUUCUGGGUCGCCAAGCAUCAAUCCUUCACAACAAUGUGAUAUUCGCUUUUCGCCUGUCGUUCUUCGUAUAUUUUCCUCACCCAGAAUCUCUUCCUAUAUUUUAAGCGCUGCCUUCUCUUUCUUAAAAGCAACAAAGUAAGUAUUUUGCGCCUUAAAAACUAUUGUAUGUUGAAGGCAGACAUUUCCUGUUUACUUGUUUUGUUACUUUGUCGCUUGUUCGCGCUCGCUUAUUGGCCGCUCGCUGUGGAGAUUGCAAACAUUCAUCGCGUGAACUGUUCGCGCGAAAAAAAUCGCGUCGCGCGAAAAAAUUCGCCUAGUGGAAACCGGGCUUUACAUAAUUAUAAGGCUCGUGCGGGACAGUUCAUUUUAGAGAAUUAGAGAAAAUACAAGUACGAGCCGCCAAACAUAUGAAUUGGAUUGCCAACGCCAACAGUAGACGUUUUUGCAUAAAUUGGGAAUCACUUAAUGAUAUUUUCUCUUAUAGGUUGUUAUACCCUGUUGCUUAUAAAUGUUAUUACGAUCACUUGACUAUCCCUCUUUAUUCUUAUUUAGAAAAAUACCGUUGUAAUUAUGAUUUGAGAAGAAAAGUCAAUUUCUUACUACCUGGGCCAAAAACUGAUUUCUUAAAAAAACUCAAUCUUCUGUCAAGCUGGUGUAUCUAUUAUGGAACUUAUUAUAGACAACAACUUGACAACAACACAAGAGGCAUAAACGCUAUAGAAACAUGUUAAAACGUGAAACAAAGAAACUAUCUUAGUAUACUAUAGCUAGCUAUAGCUUAUAUACAGUAGAGUUAACAGACUUACAAUAGAUAAGGAAAAAUUUAAUAUUAUAAUUUAUCUAGAUAUAUUUAAUGCUUAUAUCAGUUAUAUAGGUAUAAAUGCACGUUGUGAAAUUUCUGCAGCCAGGUUUGCAAUCGACAUUGUACUGCAGACCGAAUUUAGAGUAUAUAGGUUUUAUCGUUACCUGCAUUGAUUAUUUUUCAUCUUAUCCAGAAGUAGUGAUUGUUUCAGAUAUUUCAAAGCAAAAUGUUAUUUAUAGUGUUUAGUUUGCAUGCAAUUUUUAUCGUUAUGGAUGCAGAGAGAAAAUAUAUUCUGAUAGUGGGAAGCAGUUGAAAGUAGUGAACUUCAGGUUUGCGGAAUUACACGCACAAAGUGUAGUCCAUAAUUAUUACCUUCAAAUUGCGC